rnacentral:lncRNA from 1 species
GCCCUACCAGUGGUUAGAAGGCCGUCACUAAUUGCUAGAAUUCCGGCACAUAUCUUUAGUUCGGUAUCAUUCUUGGAGCAUAUGCCAACUAGAGGAGGUGAUAGUGGUGGUGUAAUAGCUGGUGGAGGAGGUGGUGUUGUUUGUGGCGGAGGCGGUUUUAAAGUUUGUGGAGGAAGUGGUGGUGGUGAGAUUGUUGGUGAUGGACCGGGACAGCUAAAGCCUUGUGGAAUCCUACGACCACAAACUUUAAAGAAGAUGCCGAAAUUGGGAGAGAGGGAAAAACGUGGUGCUCCUACCGAUUUACAAAAACAAGUAACUGCAUCAAGAUCAGACACAUUUCGGAUGAUGGAACAACAUGGUUCUGCUCUUCCAGUGGUUAGAAGACCGUCACUAAUUGCUAGAAUUCCGGCACAUAUCUUUAGUUCGGUAUCAUUCUUGGAACAUAUUCCAACCAGAGGAGGUGAUAGUGGUGGUGUGAUUGCUGGUGGAGGAGGUGGCGUGGUUUGUGGAGGAGACAACGGUGGCGGUAAGGGUUUUGGAGGAAGUGCCGGUGGUGUGGUCGCUAGUGGAGGUGGUGGUGUAAUAGCUGGUGGAGGAGGUGAUAGUGGAGGUGUAAUAGCUGGUGGAGGUGGUGGUGUAAUAGCUGGUGGAGGAGGUGGUGUGGUUUGCGGAGGAGACAACGGUGGCGGUAAGGGUUUUGGAGGAAGUGCUGGUGGUGUGGUCGCUACUGGAGGUGGUGAUGUGCUCUGUGGUGGAGGCGGUGGUUGGUCAUUGGCUGGCGGUGCUGGUUGAAAUGUUGGUGGAGUUGGCGGUUGGGGAUCGGGUUGCGGCGGAGGUGGUCCCGGAUUACAAAUACAAAUACAAGGUGGUGGUGGAG